rnacentral:rRNA from 1 species
AUACGGAGGGUGCAAGCGUUAAUCGGAAUUACUGGGCGUAAAGCGCACGCAGGCGGUUUGUUAAGUCAGAUGUGAAAUCCCCGGGCUCAACCUGGGAACUGCAUCUGAUACUGGCCAGCUUGAGUCUCGUAGAGGGGGGUAGAAUUCCAGGGGGCGCGGUGAAGUGCGUAGAGAUCUGGAGGAAUACCGGUGGCGAAGGCGGCCCCCUGGACGAAGACUGACGCUCAGGUGCGAAAGCGUGGGGAGCAAACAGGAUUAGAUACCCUGGUAGUCCACGCCGUAAACGAUGUCGACUUGGAGGUUGUGCCCUUGAGGCGUGGCUUCCGGAGCUAACGCGUUAAGUCGACCGCCUGGGGAGUACGGCCGCAAGGUUAAAACUCAAAUGAAUUGGCGGGG